rnacentral:rRNA from 1 species
GCAAGUCGAACGAUGAACCUCCUUCGGGAGGGGAUUAGUGGCGAACGGGUGAGUAACACGUGGGCAAUCUGCCCUUCACUCUGGGACAAGCCCUGGAAACGGGGUCUAAUACCGGAUAACACUGCGGAUCGCAUGGUCUGCGGUUGAAAGCUCCGGCGGUGAAGGAUGAGCCCGCGGCCUAUCAGCUUGUUGGUGGGGUGAUGGCCUACCAAGGCGACGACGGGUAGCCGGCCUGAGAGGGCGACCGGCCACACUGGGACUGAGACACGGCCCAGACUCCUACGGGAGGCAGCAGUGGGGAAUAUUGCACAAUGGGCGAAAGCCUGAUGCAGCGACGCCGCGUGAGGGAUGACGGCCUUCGGGUUGUAAACCUCUUUCAGCAGGGAAGAAGCGAAAGUGACGGUACCUGCAGAAGAAGCGCCGGCUAACUACGUGCCAGCAGCCGCGGUAAU